rnacentral:rRNA from 1 species
GACGAACGCUGACGGUGUGCUUUAGACAUGCAAGUCGAACGAGAAAGCCCUUCGGGUUAGUAAGUGGCGAACGGGUGAGUAACACGUGGGCAAUCUGCCCCUCGCAGGGGGACGAACCGGAGGAAACUCCGGCUAAUACCCCGUAAGUUCAAAGGGAGGCAUCUCUCUUCGAAGAAAGGUAGCUUCGGCCAUCCGGCGAGGGAUGAGCCCGCGGUGCAUUAGCUAGUUGGUGGGGUAACGGCCUACCAAGGCGACGAUGCAUAGCUGGUCUGAGAGGAUGAUCAGCCACACUGGGACUGAGACACGGCCCAGACUCCUACGGGAGGCAGCAGUCGGGAAUCUUGCGCAAUGGGCGAAAGCCUGACGCAGCAACACCGUGUGUGUG